AGCGAACGCUGGCGGCGUGCCUAACACAUGCAAGUCGAACGUGAAAAGGGAAACCUGAGUAAAGUGGCGUACGGGUGAGUAACGCGUAGGUAAUCUACCCCAGAAUCUGGAAUAACCUGCCGAAAGGCGGGCUAAUACUGGAUAGAGCGAGGGAACUCGUAAGAGAGUUUUUCGGGAAAGGGAGCCCGCAAGGGCCUUCGUUCUGGGAUGAGCCUGCGUCUCAUUAGCUAGUUGGUAAGGUAACGGCUUACCAAGGCGAUGAUGAGUAGCUGGUCUGAGAGGAGGAUCAGCCACACUGGAACUGAAACACGGUCCAGACUCCUACGGGAGGCAGCAGUGGGGAAUCUUGCGCAAUGGACGAAAGUCUGACGCAGCCACGCCGCGUGAGGGAAGAAGGCCUUCGGGUUGUAAAGCUCUGUCGGAUGGGACGAACAUCUUCAUAGUGAAUAGCUAUGAGGACUGACGGUACCAUCAAAGGAAGCACCGGCUAACUCCGUG
rnacentral:rRNA from 1 species